rnacentral:rRNA from 1 species
CUACGGGGCGCUGCAGGCGAGAAAACUUUGCAAUGUGCGAAAGCACGACAAGGUUAAUCCGAGUGGUUUCUGCUAAAGGAACCUUUUGACAGUCCUAGAAACACUGUUGAAUAGGGGUGGGCAAGUUCUGGUGUCAGCCGCCGCGGUAAAACCAGCACCUCAAGUGGUCAGGAUGAUUAUUGGGCCUAAAGCAUACGUAGCCGGCUCUGUAAGUUUUCGGUUAAAUCUGUACGCUCAACGUACAGGCUGCCGGGAAUACUGCAGAGCUAGGGAGUGGGAGAGGUAGACGGUACUCGGUAGGAAGGGGUAAAAUCCUUUGAUCUAUUGAUGACCACCUGUGGCGAAGGCGGUCUACCAGAACACGUCCGACGGUGAGGGAUGAAAGCUGGGGGAGCAAACCGGAUUAGAUACCCUUGUAGUC